CACACACUAUGUCCCCACUAGACACAGGUACCAACACACACCAUGUCCCCACUAGACACAGGUACCAACACACACCACGUCCCCACUAGACACAGGUACCAACACACACCACGUCCCCACUAGACACAGGUACCAACACGCACCACGUCCCCACUAGACACAGGUACCAACACACACCACGUCCCCACUAGACACAGGUACCAACACACACCACGUCCCCACUAG